GGAGCAGUACUCACUCACUUACCCAGCUACGCUUUGUCCCUUGGCAUAAACAGCGUCGAUGUCGCCAUGAUCGUCUCAGUGCUGGGUAUUAUGGUGUCGGUCGGUCAAAUGAGUGUCGGUUUGAUCAUAGAUUUCCUACCCGUCCCCAUCAUCUACGCCUACAGCUUCGCCAUGGUUCUGACUUGUGCUGUUGUGGCCGUCAUACCUCUCGUUCACUCUGUUUACAUACUUGCCUUCUGUGCUGGAGUGUUUGGUUUCUUCAUUGGUUGGAUUAUUUCCCUGAGGACAAUACUACUCGCAGACUUGGUUGGAGUCGCAAACCUCACACAUGUAUUUGGUGUCGUAGCUUUCUUCCAAGGAACAGGCUUCAUUGUUUCUCCUCCACUUGCAGUACUGCUCUUUCUCUUUCUUCUGGAAAAAAAAUAAGCAGGACAACAGCACUUGUGUCAUUAUUCAUGGUCUCCAAGAGUAACGGGAGGAAGGGACGACGGGACGAAGGUAUCCUUAUAGCGGAAACUUGGCCUGAAUACUGAUAGUUGUUUCUGGUAGAGUCAGCGUGUGGUGGGAAUAAACCGGGCGAUGGAUUCAGUAUGCCACUCAAGAACAGGUUUACUCUAUGACUACACCCAGUCGUACAUGGCGUUGUUCAUGCUGUGUACGGCAUCAUACGGACUUGCAGCGAUUUUCACGCUUAUUUUAUGCUAUUUCUAUCGCAAACAAGAUUCACAGAAUAGCAUUAAAUCUUAUCCGGUGAAUUAACAUUCAAAAAGAAAGUAAAAAGUGAGUAAUUGACAAGGAAAAGGUGAGAGACUGCUUUGUGCAAAGGAAGCAAAUUACAUUGUUGUUGUUUUUUUAUAAUAUAAUUCCGAUAUAUUCCUCAUUUUCAAAUAAAAUGAUUGAAAGUCAUUUGGGGGAAAAAACAGAAUCUCAUACUCAAUAUCUAACAGCGAUUACCUUCAACCUUCUAUGUUCUGGGUUUCAAAUCUCAUACAGGGUUGAAAAAGGUUUUCCUCCAUCCAGGCUCUAAGUACCAGAGAUGCAUCUGUAUAAAAAGGGGAUAUGGUUUACGACUUUGUGUCAAUGUGAGAAAUAAUUAUUGAAGGGAAAAGAGCAUCGAACUAAGUUCCUCUCAUUGCUUAGUUUCGAGCUUCUAAUUUCCGAGUUUAAAACCUUCCAGGGUCAACUUUGACUUUCAUCUUUGCUGGGACAAUAAGAUAAGUAUCAACCAAGUUAAUGAGUCUAAUCGGCUAAUCCUUCCCACAAAAUUUGUGUCCUUGUACCUAUUUUUGAAAUCAUUAUUAUUAUUACUCCAAAGAUGGCGAGCCGACAGAAUCGUUUGCAAACCGGGAAAAUGUUUAGCGGCAUUUCGUCCGUCUUUACGUUCAGAUUCCGCCGAAGUCGACUUUGCCUUCCAUCCUUUCAAGAUCUAUAAAAGAAGUACCAGUUGAACACAGGGGUUGAUGUACUCGAUUUAACCCCUCCCCCAGAAUUGCUGGCCUUGUGCCAAAAUUCAAAACUAUUAUUCUUAUUAUUACUCGAGUGCUUGCGGUGUUUGUUUCGGCAUGUUUCAAAUCCCGCAGAAGUUAACUUUGACAUUUACCCUCCGGGAGUGAAUAAAAUAAAGUACAACCCAAAUACCUGGAUCCAUAUAAUCAACUGAUCCCUGGCCCCGAAUUUCUGAUCUUGUGUUUAUAUAUAUAUAUAUAUAUAUAUAUAAAGAUUAUUGUUGUUAAAGCGUGGCAAGCUGGCAGAAUCGUUAGAGCGUUGAAAAAAUAUUUUGGUUAUUUCUCUGAUUCUUUAUCGAUGGGGUCAGCUUUGACUUUCAUCCUUCUGGGUCAAUAUAAUAAAGUACCAGUUAAGUAUUUUGGUCGAUGGUAUCGACUAAACACUCCUUUCAAAACUGCUGGCCUUGUGCCAAAA